ensembl:lncRNA
AGCAACAAGGAGGCGGCGGGCCACAAAGUUGGUUUUUUUAGGUUCUUUUUGUUUUUUUGUUGUUGUUUUUUUACAGUCCUGUCUCUUCUUCUACAGAAAACCGAAAAACAAGACGAGUGAAACAGAAAUCACAACCGGAGAAGCGCGGCGGGGCGAAGUUGGCAACAAGCAGCCACGAAGGCAGAGCAUCGAAGUGUCGGUCAGACGAGUCACAGCUUCACUUUGUGGAGAGAGGGGGGAAAAGAAAAGAAGAAAAAGAAAAAGAGAGAGAGAGAGAGAGAGAUUAAUGAAUUCGCCUCCAGUCCGAGACGAGGCGGUUCUUCUCUCCGGCCGCGAGGAACAGGACGUCGCGCACAGCGCGGCCGCGCGGGAACACUUCGCCGUCUGCGGUCGGACUCCACCGAGCCUGGAGCGGGCUUCCAGAGGGCGACAUUCCCCAAGUGUGGCGGCGCUGGACGAGGAGGAGGAGGAGGAAGAGGAGGGGGGAGGAGGAAGAGGAAGAGGAGGGGGAGGGAGGAGGAGGGGGGGUGCGGUGGGGGUCAAUCGGCGAUCAAUCGCUGCCGGUAACUACACAGCGCGGGAGAAAGUGGUCGCGUCUCAUCGAUUAAAACGUGAUCGUUAUUAAGUGAGUGUCCGCGGCGUCAGCGUGGCCCCGGGGGCCGAUGCGCGGUGCGUCGGGGAGGCGAGAGAAGCAAAGAAAGGAAGAAAGAAAGAAAAAAAAGCUGGGGAAACGUCCCACUCUUCCAUCCAGGAAGUAGACUAGCGGUCAUGCAUGCGCGGAUAUCAGGCUGCUGCUGCUGCUGCUGGUGGUCCCAUCCGACCGGACGGGCUGCGCGCGAGGGGGCGGGGGGGCGCGGAGGGGAAGGGGAGGCGGGUCCUAGAUUUAUUUAUUUAUUUGAUUUCUUUGCUGAAUGCAACAUGACUGGGGACGCACACCCGCAGGCUGGUGCCUGUAGUUUGUCUCUGAUUACAAUGGACUCGCGUCAGACUGCCGGGGUCCGGACUGGAUGCCGCUGCGCCUCUUCUGAAUGUUGCGUCAAACAUGUUGCACCAGACAUGAUGAAACACUGCCGGACCGGAAUGGAAUGUUCUCCAGCAAAGGAGCAGGAUAUCUACAAGCCUUGUAACAAAAAAAUUGCUGUUCUGCUGCUUCCUCCCCAGGCCCCAUUAUUAAAAUGACCCUCCUGUGGCCACACGCUGAUGUCCCUUUGCCUCCUGCUGGCAGAACUGUGAAUGGAAUACUUCAGCAGUAAUCAUCACCUGGAAUAGCGUCCUGUGAGAGUGGGUGCUGAUUGGAGAACCGUGCAUCCACUGGUGACACUCCCCCAGGUGAAUGUGUAGUCAGUGGUGUCUCCCGCAGAACCAUCCAGCUGGACAUUUAAUUUGAGGAAUCUGAUUAAAUUUCUCAUUUAAUUACGCCAUUCUCUGCAGGGCCAUUGAGGACAGUCACGAGGGCCCUUUGCUUUUAAUGUGAGCCAUCUGCUUCCUCUCCAAAAUGCCUACCUUUUCACAGCCCCCACAGCCCCGUGAGCAUCCUCGCACGAACCUCCAGGCUGCACUACCUCCGUUCACUCUGCACAACACCGUCGUCGUCGCACUCGACUGUAGUCUUACUGCGUGUAACCAGAACAAAAGUACUUUUCACUUUAACCUGUGUGACCCUAAUUGUGGGUGGCUGUGGCUCAGAGGUCGUCCACAAACCAGAAGGUUGGUGGUUCGAUCCCUGAUUCCCCCAUGGUCACUGUAAUAUCACUUUGAGUGGUCAAUAAGACUGGACGAGCGCCACACAAGUACAGUCCAUUUACCAUCUAAUCAAUCAUGCAGACUGCAAAAAAAUCAGCUCUUACAUGUAGAGACAAAUUUCCCACAGACCAAUGAGACAUCACCAAGAAUGUAAAUGAGCAAAUAAAGUUUGCAGUAACUAAUAACGAUUCCAAUCCACAUCGAUAUGUGCAACAGUAAUGUGCACAUGUUCAGUAUCAUACAAUAUAAGAUUUUUUUAUAAUAUAAAAAUCCUAAUUCAAGCCCCACUUACUCGGUGGAAUUUAUUUUUAAUUUUUUAUACAAUUGAUCAAGUUGUAAUAAACUCAAUCUGCAUUAAUUCAGACUAUUCUGAGAAUAAUUGUUAAAGUCAGUCGUGGGGAACGUCCAGCCCCCGGGCCGUAUACCGUAUACAGCCCACGAGGCAAUUCUCAAAUACCAAAAAAAAGUUAAAACAUCUCAUGACAGCAAUUCAUUUUUUUUUCUGUUAUAAAAGAAAAUAACAUAAAGACUGGACUAGCAUGUCUUUCAGCGUGAUCCCUCCUGGCUCAAUGCCUGUCAGGUGACGAUCAGGAGGACAAACCACAAGUCACCCUGGCUGACGAGCGAUAUGGCGACUGUGAAGAAAAGAAAAGCAGGUGCUGAAUGUUGAGCUUUUUCAAUAAAACAAACGUGCAAUUAUGUUGUGUUGACGUGAACAGAGAGCCUGUGAAGGAAAAAGGUAAAUUUCAAGAGUCAUUACCGCUGGAAACAUACAGCUAAAUCAGAUAGUCUGCGAGGGCAAACACUCUUGGAUAAAGUUGAUGCUCUUUGGUGGAGUUUGUUUGGCCUCCAAGCAGCUUUCGCAAGACACAUUCUGACACAAGCAAUGUUAAUGUGGGCAAGUAUUGCUGAAAGCGUGCCAGGAGCUAAGACGCUGAAACCUUUUUCAGAAGGAGAAUUCCAGAGGAGCUUUGUUGCUGAAGAGCUGUUGCACCAGACAAAGUGAAACAAAGCCAAAGUGUCGGUUUGUCUCAAAGAACUGUUGAUGACUGAUAUGGCACGACAAGAUACUGAAAAAAAAUCAGCACUGAAGGACAUUACAAGAAAUGCCUCAAAUGCCACAUAAAUAUGUGGGAUUACUGUAGCUUGGCUGUCACUGUAAGCCAUGGCACCUGCACCAAAUGUGAGGAUUUGUUUCAACAAGUUGUUUUGGUUUUAACCGAUUCUGAAUAGCAUCGUCUUCACUACCAUCUGACAUCAGAUGCCUCGCCACAGAAAAAGAGUUCAAGCCACCACAUUUUGAGGUUGGUGUGAUAUUUGUAUGACCCAUGAAGGAUGUUAUAAAAACUUUUAAUGGCCCUUAAGUGGAAAAUUAGAGCCAUGCUCCAAGUAAGAAUGUCAAAAAUUUACUGGUGCAGCUUCUGAGGAUUUGUUCCUGCAAACUAUAAUAGUUGUAUUAAGUAUGUAAAAAGUUUUCUGCCAGUAAAAGUACAAAUUGAAAAAAAAGGAAUAUGAAAAUGUUAAUUUAAUGGCAUCACAAAGGUAUCUGGUCCGGACCUUUUGAUUACUUUCUGGCUUUUUAAAGAGAUUGGUAAAUAAUGAAAAUAAUCAUAAGAUGCAGUCAUAAUGUAAUCUAAAAGAUUAAAAAGCAGCAGUGUCCCUUCUCACUACUGUUUCAGAAAAUCACUUUUCAUCUAGAAGAAUGUGCGACCUCUUAGUCGGGAAAAACAAUACCUCACGAACAGCAAUCAGUGUAGACUUAAUUAACAGUCUAAAAUUAAAAAGCCAAGGGAAAAUUUGUGGUCAUAAUUUAAGCAAUAAGCCACAAGGCUCCGAGAAGCCAAAGCUGUGAUCUAUUUGUUUUCUUUUGCGAAACAUUGCCUUGAAGCUGUUUUGAAAUCAACCGUGACAUGAUCCAGGCUUAUAGCUUUAAUAAAAAGGCUGAGUUCCACUGUGGUUUUUAUUUUUUUUAAAUGUACGUUCAAUAAAUAGCAUGCAAAUAACAAUAAAACUAAAACAGAUGGGUGAUAUGUUCCUCGUGAUAAAUUUUGACCUGAGAAUAUUAUAAAACAAGAUGCAGCCAGGGAGUUUUUCAUCAGAUGUUGGGGACUAAUUUUUGCGCUUUCAUCUCAGCUGCUGUUAAGAAAUUCAAUUUUCUCCAGAGGCAGUAUAUCCUCCCUGCUUGCACUGCGGUGUGGUGUUCAGAAACAUGUGGAAAAAGGGAACAGAUCAUGUGUUAUAAUUAAUAAUACAGCAAAAAGUUGCAUCUAUAGCAUGCAACCUGGAUGCCUGACAGAGUGCCACUGCAAUAAUUUGGUGCAGAGCCACUUGCUUUUGUUUCACUAUGAAAGCACAAGUCAUAGCCGUGAUGACCUUACCGCCACUAUCCAGAGUCCUUCUAUGCGGUUUCUGGUAGUUUCAUGAGGCAUUUGUAAUGUGUGCUUUGACAUUCUAAUCUCUUUCGCUCUUUGGGAGCUGGGAUCCUAAAGGCGUCCUAACACUUUCUCUGACAGUUAAAUUGUGUUUCGGAUUAAAAAAAAGAAAAGGUGAGAAAUAUAUGUUUCAUGCGAGUCCAGCCACGACACCGACAUCGUCCCUCGGGCAUCUCCUUCCUCUUUGCCCUUAAGUGGUUUGCGAGUCACACUUGUAUUAUUUUUUCAAACACAUUUCACAUGUUGACAGUCGGUGCAUAAUGUACGACCUCGUGCAUCAAUUAUGUACUGCAAUUCAGGCUAUGACCAUAUAUAAUUUAUUUGAUUUCUCAAUGUCCUCCAUUAUUUAAUCAGAUGCUAUUUUUACCAUUAUUACUCUCCCCGAAUAGUUUGAUCUUUUGUGGGUCUCUCGUCUAGUUCUUCAGAUCAUUGUGUCAUGUUUCUGCACUGAAUCUACUCUGCAUUAAAGCUUCAGGAGGGUGUUGCCAGCAUGUGUCUGCCUCAGCAGGACAACCUUAAGAGGGGUAGCAUGAUAAAACUGCAAAGAGGGGUUCAGAAGUAAGUCUUUAGCAAGCCAGUAGCAGUGUUUUGGUUUCCGUUAAAAGCUAAGAAAAAGCUCUGUGUCUCGGAAAUGUCAAAGAAGUGGAAUGUACUCCAGGACAGCAACAUACAGGAAUAUUCCUGGCCUGCGUCUUUCCAUCUGGAUUAAUUUGUAACAGUUUAAAACUUGUCAUAUAGGAAAAAAAUAUUGCAUUAGAGCUAUAUUUGAAAAAAGAAGGCCCUCCUUUUGAGGCUGACUUGUUUUUAAUGCCAAUUUUUUCGAGAUAAUAAUUGGUUGAGAGUUAAAAAAAUAAAAGCAGCGUGACUUUGAAAAACUCAAAAUUAGGGCAUGUACUGACAUUUCAUUCAAAGAUUAAAGUACCAUAACUUGUCCGACCAAACCUUGUCCUUCCCAUUUAAUGGAAUCACAAUCGGUUGACAUCAAAGCCAACCAUUUUUAGAUCUGUUUUCGCUGCUUUCUUGGCAGCGCCUGGUUACAUUUCAUUUCUGUCGGGCACGAGAGGCA